GAGACAGCAGCAGCCGCGGGAAUACGAAGGGUGCAAGCGUUAAUCGGAAUUACUGGGCGUAAAGCGUGCGUAGGCGGUGAGUUAAGUCUGCUGUGAAAUCCCCGGGCUCAACCUGGGAAUGGCAGUGGAUACUGGCUCGCUAGAGUGUGUCAGAGGAUGGUGGAAUUCCCGGUGUAGCGGUGAAAUGCGUAGAGAUCGGGAGGAACAUCAGUGGCGAAGGCGGCCAUCUGGGACAACACUGACGCUGAGGCACGAGAGCGUGGGGAGCAAACAGGAUUAGAUACCCCAGUAGUCCCUGUCUCUUAUAC
rnacentral:rRNA from 1 species